UACAGAGGGUGCGAGCGUUAAUCGGAAUUACUGGGCGUAAAGCGCGCGUAGGCGGCUUUGCAAGUCGGGUGUGAAAUCCCCAGGCUUAACCUGGGAACUGCAUUCGAGACUGCAUUGCUAGAGUAUGGGAGAGGGAAGUGGAAUUUCCGGUGUAGCGGUGAAAUGCGUAGAUAUCGGCAGGAACAUCAGUGGCGAAAGCGACUUCCUGGACCAAUACUGACGCUCAUGUGCGAAAGCGUGGGGAGCAAACAGG
rnacentral:rRNA from 1 species